AAUACUAGUGAAUCACAACCUCAUUCCAGUGAAAUCACAUGGCAAGCACAUCUUCCACAUCCAAUGUACCUGAAGUCAUUUCAACAUUUGUAUAUAUAACUAAUUAGUGGAAAGCUGAAAACUUAUAUUUGUAUAUGAGCUGAUAUACAUAAUGGUCCGCAACAAGGCCAGUGCUGCCCUCUACUGGAUUCUCUUAAUAUUUCUAGUGCUACUCUUCUCUUCCGACAUAGCAUUUGCCAGAGUUUCACCAUUUUCAAAAAACAAAGAGAACACCAGGCUGCACUGGCAAAUGAAAGCAGAUGUAGGGAGUCCUCAUGAUCCUGGCUCAGGGCAGCACCCUAAGAACACACCUCCACCACCUGACGACGUUGCUUGACCCAACAGUAUGUAGGUUAUCUCGAUCCCAGCCGUAUGUGGAAUUGUUUCUGCCUUCGUUUGCGAUCUUCAAGCUUUUGUUUUUGUACUUCUGGAAUUUUUUUUUUUUAAUAAGAUUGUACUUCUAGGAUUUUGGUUUAAGUGUAAGGGGUAUCUAUCCUUAGGUGUUCAGACAUAAAGCAAACAUAUCAUGUAUUAUUAUUAUUUUUAAAUUAAAUAGAAGAUUAGGUGAUAACAAAUCAUGUAUUAUUAUAAAAAAGAAAAAUAAAACAAUGAGUGUGUCACACUAUUGGUUCU